rnacentral:rRNA from 1 species
AGAGUUAAACAGUACGUGAAAUUGUUGAAAGGGAAACGAUUGAAGCUAGUCGUACUUGCGGGAAAUCAACUUCUCGAGUGCUUGUCGUGGAUGACGUUGAGCUUCACGGCCUUCGUUGCUUGCGUUAUGGUGCUUUUGAGGUGUACUUUUCCGUAUGGUAGGUCAACAUCGAUUUUGGUCGUCAUAAAAUGAUCGGAGGAAUGUGGCUCUGAUCUCGUAUCGGAGUGUUAUAGCCUUUGGUAGAUGUGACGAUUGGGAUCGAGGAUUGCAACGAAUACCCUUUGGGCUAUCCGUCUGACCUCUGAAAGUCGUUAGGGUGUUGAAAGCGUGCUUAUGACAUUCUAGUUGGCGGUCAAUAGGUUAGAACGUGAUUACAUUCGUUAAGGAUGUUGACGUAAUGGCUUUAAACGACC